rnacentral:lncRNA from 1 species
AAGAGUGUGGCAGAAGCUGAGCCAAUUUCUUUGAAAGGGCCAAUUGAAAAAGCAAUAAACCUAAGCCUAGGAAAUAAGAAAGCAAAGUUAGGAAGCCCAAAUGUCAUGCAGGUAAAUCAAAUUCAAAUUUCAUCCCCAUCUGCAAAGCUUAAGCUAGUAUGGUAAGAAGCAACACAGGAGGUUACAGAGGUUACGGGGUUGAGAAUGGAGACAAAAUUAAAGUUCACUCUAGUUAUUGGUUAGUUAGGCCAAUUGUCAAAUCGAAUUUUCCUGAUGAUACUUGAGUUUCUGAACUAAUUGAUUCUAAUCAUAGGUGGGAUCGAUGAAAAAGCUUUUAUUCAGCAGAACUUUGCUGCAGAAGAUUCUGAAAGCCGUCAAGAAGCAUCUUUGUAUUGCAAUCAAGAAACCAAACCCUCCUACCCCCAAAUUCACAAUGCGUCAUAGCAUUUAAAUUUUUUUUUUUUCCUCCUGUUUUGACAUUUUAGAAUUUUAAGCUACUUAAUUUAAUCUGUUAUACUUCUAUAUGGUGUCCAAA